AGAGAGCUGGGUAGCUGUUAGUGACCUAUUGGUAAUAAAAACUUACUGCUCACUUCCUGUCCCUGAAUGCAGCACACUGGCUUGGAUGCUCCUUUCUUCUUUUAUGGAUCUGUUGCUUCCUGGGAUAAUGUUGUCAUUUUGUGCUGACCUCUUGCUGCUUUAGUUUGAGAUGGUACAUGACAAGUUUCCCUCUCUUGCUCCAAAAUUUGAGAUCUGGAUACAACCAGUCAAAAGGCAAAACUUAGCACAGCUGAAACCAGGACCUUCACCUCUGCAAUGCACUCCCACUGGAGUCGUGUCUUACAGUAGCUCAGAAUCGGUACAUAUGAGAACUGAACCCUCAGACAGGGAAUGGCAGUGAAUUCAUCAGGGGAGCCAACAAACAGCUAAUACAUGAGAGCAACUAACUGAGUCCAGAACAUUCCCUCCUGAUGUAAAAAUAUACGAGAGAGAGACAAACAAGCCUCAGGACUGCAUCCUUUCAUUCCUUUGAAGACCAUCUGCUGUCUUGUCCUCUGGAUAGGGAACUUGGGUGUACGUAGCCAAGUAGCUGACAGGAAAUAUCGUCAUUCUCUUUUCUGCGUGCUGCUGCUUGUCAUGCGUACCCUAAAAAUAGUGGGCUGCUGCUUCAUCAAAAGUAUGCGACACUCCCAGGUGAAAAUUGGGACAUCAGAGAAGUGUUUCGGAAACUUUGGGUUUAUUAUCCUGGUCACACCAGGGAUUGGAACGUGGUUCAGUGUUUUAUUUUAAAGUUCUUUAAAUUGUGGAGAGCAAUAUACACUUAUGAACACGAAUAACCCGGCUUUCCAGUGAAUAUGGCAAAAUAGGACAACACGUGUCAAGAAUUGCAAAAGUCAGAAAUGGAAAAGAUGUGCCAGGGUAUGGACAAACAUAAACAUUAUAUGGCUAUCAAAUGAUACCAGUACAAUCUGUUACAAUCCAACUGUUAGGUCUGCAUGCUUCUGAUUUGAUAAAAAUGUAACAGAACUGUUCCAGCUUUAACCUUGCUUCAUGCAGGGUCAAAUUAAGGCAAUUUAGCUCAUUCAUGUCUAUCGGAUCAUGCAGAUAUAACAGUUACAGCAUACAUAAUAGCCGCCAUGCUCUCCUCAGCUGCAGCUUUCCCUUCCCUUAUAAAGCAGAGAGCAAUGUAGGUUUAUCUAUAUGCUUAGGUUAUCUGUUAUAUCACCUGUGACUGAAAUCAGUGGAAUUUUUCCAAAUGCACAUUUGUGUAGAAUGGAAUCCAGUCCACUUUUACCUUUUUUUCCAAUUAAACUAUGUCUUAAGAUCUGAAUUGAAACUCUGUGCUUUUCCAGGGUUGUUUCUGUAGCUGGGAGAUGUCUUUUCAUAUGAGAGUGCCAAUAUUAUACCACCCACACUCCUUUCCUGUAAUUUUACUGAUAGAAAUUGUAAGAAAAAUCCACAAUAAUGAAUAUCCGGUACUUUCAAAACUGAACUGGCAGCUCAGUGUUACCUAAUUAAUAGUUUCUUUUACUUUCCAGUUCCCAAGGGACCUACAUUCCCAUUAAUAACUUUCAGAAGUUGUAUAACAAUUAUCUCACUAGCAGCGGCAUUCCCGUGCAAGCGUCCCUUAGCAUAGAAAUAAGGCAGGUGAAAAAAGGUUCACAUUUGACGUUUGAAAGACAACACUUAGGAAUUCCAGGAUAGCAUUGCCCUUACCAUCUUCUUAGGAAAUCCACUGUAAAAUACAGUAUGUGCUAAGUACAAGCCUUGCCACCUAAAUAUGGACUGCUUUUUGGCUCUAGCUGUUCAGAAAACCCCAGAGCAGGUGCCACAUUAAAUCACCCAACUUGAUUCUUUCCCUGGCUGAAGAUCACUGAGAGUUUACAUGAGCAGGAAUUUGGACAACACAUCUCACAAUUCAGAAAUGCUAGGAAACUAACGUUGCCCAACAACAUAAACACAUUCUUACCUCAGAAAGUCUUCAGGCUCCUAAUUGUGCGGAGUGCAACUUAAUUUGGCUUUGACAAGGAAGUGGUUUAGCACUUAUAGGGAAUACAUUUUAGUCUGUCAUACCAGUGCUAAUUUAUGCCACAUUUCCUUUCUAUUUAUAACUGAAAUAUUCUAAAUUGGCAACAUUAGAUGCAAAUAUAUUACAAUCUAACAGGAGGCCAAAUAUUUGGUAAAUCUGAUUUAAUUAAGGGAAGAAAUUAUUCCUGUAUGGCUGCCUAAUGGUCUUGCAGUUGCAAUUUCCAGAGUUUGAUUUGCUGAAAAGCUGCUGAUAACUCCUAAGAAAGUUUGAAGAUUAGUAUGUAAUUUAGCUUAGCUUAUUCUGUAUGUCUCAUUGCAUUUUAUUUUACUGAGGACUCUUGCCUAAAUGGAGGAUUUUUGUUACUUGAAAGCAUUUUUGAUCUCCUAUUUAUUUUCC